GAUGAACGCUGGCGGCGUGCCUAAUACAUGCAAGUCGAGCGAACAGAUGAGGAGCUUGCUCCUCUGACGUUAGCGGCGGACGGGUGAGUAACACGUGGAUAACCUACCUAUAAGACUGGGAUAACUUCGGGAAACCGGAGCUAAUACCGGAUAAUAUAUUGAACCGCAUGGUUCAAUAGUGAAAGACGGUUUUGCUGUCACUUAUAGAUGGAUCCGCGCCGCAUUAGCUAGUUGGUAAGGUAACGGCUUACCAAGGCAACGAUGCGUAGCCGACCUGAGAGGGUGAUCGGCCACACUGGAACUGAGACACGGUCCAGACUCCUACGGGAGGCAGCAGUAGGGAAUCUUCCGCAAUGGGCGAAAGCCUGACGGAGCAACGCCGCGUGAGUGAUGAAGGUCUUCGGAUCGUAAAACUCUGUUAUUAGUGAAGAACAAAUGUGUAAGUAACUGUGCACGUCUUGACGGUACCUAAUCAGAAAGCCACGGCUAACUACGUG
rnacentral:rRNA from 1 species